rnacentral:rRNA from 1 species
GAUGAACGCUGGCGGCGUGCCUAAUACAUGCAAGUCGAGCGAAUGGAUUAAGAGCUUGCUCUUAUGAAGUUAGCGGCGGACGGGUGAGUAACACGUGGGUAACCUGCCCAUAAGACUGGGAUAACUCCGGGAAACCGGGGCUAAUACCGGAUAACAUUUUGAAUCGCAUGGUUCGAAAUUGAAAGGCGGCUUCGGCUGUCACUUAUGGAUGGACCCGCGUCGCAUUAGCUAGUUGGUGGGGUAACGGCUCACCAAGGCAACGAUGCGUAGCCGACCUGGGAGGGUGAUCGGCCACCCUGGGACUGAGACACGGCCCAGACUCCUACGGGAGGGAGCAGUAGGGAAUCUUCCGCAAUGGACGAAAGUCUGACGGAGCAACGCCGCGUGAGUGAGGAAGGCUUUCGGGUCGUAAAACUCUGUUGUGAGGGAAGAACAAGUGCUGGUUGAAUAAGCUGGCACCUUGACGGUACCUAACCAGAAAGCCACGGCUAACUACGUGCCAGCAGCCGCGGUAA